GGAGAGGUGUCCGAGUGGUUGAUGGUGCCGCUCUCGAAAAGCGGUGCGGGGAAACCCGCCGUGGGUUCGAAUCCCACCCUCUCCGCCA
rnacentral:tRNA from 1 species